UACGUAGGUGGCGAGCGUUGUCCGGAUUUACUGGGCGUAAAGGGAGCGUAGGCGGACUUUUAAGUGAGAUGUGAAAUACUCGGGCUCAACUUGAGUGCUGCUUUUCAAACUGGAAGUCUAGAGUGCAGGAGAGGAGAAUGGAAUUCCUAGUGUAGCGGUGAAAUGCGUAGAGAUUAGGAAGAACACCAGUGGCGAAGGCGGUUCUCUGGACUGUAACUGACGCUGAGGCUCGAAAGCGUGGGGAGCAAACAGG
rnacentral:rRNA from 1 species